rnacentral:rRNA from 1 species
UACGUAGGCAGCAAGCGUUGUUCGGAAUUACUGGGCGUAAAGAGUGUGUAGGCGGUGUUCUAAGUUUGUCGUGAAAUCUCCCGGCUUAACUGGGAGGGCGCGGCGAAAACUGGAAUGCUAGAGGAUGGGAGAGGUAAGCGGAAUUCCUGGUGUAGCGGUGAAAUGCGUAGAUAUCAGGAGGAACACCUGUGGUGUAGACAGCUUACUGGACCAUUUCUGACGCUGAGACACGAAAGCGUGGGUAGCAAACAGG